rnacentral:rRNA from 1 species
UACAGAGGUGGCAAGCGUUGUUCGGAAUUACUGGGCGUAAAGGGCGCGUAGGCGGGCUAUCAAGUCUGGGGUGAAAUCCCGCGGCUCAACCGUGGAACUGCCUUAGAUACUGACGGCCUCGAGGGAGGUAGGGGCGUGCGGAACUGUAGGUGGAGCGGUGAAAUGCGUUGAUAUCUACAGGAACUCCGGUGGCGAAAGCGGCGCGCUGGACCUCUUCUGACGCUGAGGCGCGAAAGCUAGGGGAGCAAACGGG